GCCAGUGUGGUGUAGUGGCUUGAACAUUGGACUAGUACUCUGGAAAUCAGGGUUUGAAUCCAUGCUCAGCCA